rnacentral:rRNA from 1 species
UACGGAGGGAGCUAGCGUUGUUCGGAAUUACUGGGCGUAAAGCGCACGUAGGCGGCUUUGUAAGUUAGAGGUGAAAGCCCGGAGCUCAACUCCGGAACUGCCUUUAAGACUGCAUCGCUUGAAUCCAGGAGAGGUGAGUGGAAUUCCGAGUGUAGAGGUGAAAUUCGUAGAUAUUCGGAAGAACACCAGUGGCGAAGGCGGCUCACUGGACUGGUAUUGACGCUGAGGAGCGAAAGCGUGGGGAGCGAACAGG